rnacentral:rRNA from 1 species
AUUGAACGCUGGCGGCAGGCCUAACACAUGCAAGUCGAACGGUAACAGGGAUCCGCUUGCUGAUUCGCUGACGAGUGGCGGACGGGUGAGUAAUGUCUGGGAAACUGCCUGAUGGAGGGGGAUACCUCCUGAAACCGGUACCUAAUCCCGCUUACCGUCGCAAGACCAAAGGGGGGGACCUUCGGGCCUCUUUUCGUCGACUGUUCCCAGAUGGGAUUAGCUAGUAGGUGGGGUAACGGCUAACCUAGGCGACGAUCCCUAGCUGGUCUGAGAGGAUGACCAGCCACACUGGAACUGAGACACGGUCCAGACUCCUACGGGAGGCAGCAGUGGGGAAUAUUGCACAAUGGGCGCAAGCCUGAUGCAGCCAUGCCGCGUGUAUGAAGAAGGCCUUCGGGUUGUAAAGUACUUUCAGCGGGGAGGAAGGGAGUAAAGUUAAUACCUUUGCUCAUUGACGUUACCCGCAGAAGAAGCACCGGCUAACUCCGUG